AAAGAUUAAGCCAUGCAUGUCUGAGUAUAAGCAAUUAUACAGCGAAACUGCGAAUGGCUCAUUAUAUAAGUUAUCGUUUAUUUGAUAGUACCUUACUACUUGGAUAACCGUGGUAAUUCUAGAGCUAAUACAUGCUGAAAAUCCCGACUUCGGAAGGGAUGUAUUUAUUAGAUUAAAAACCAAUGCCCUUCUGGGCUCUCUGGUGAUUCAUGAUAACUUCUCGAAUCGCACGGCCUCGCGCCGGCGAUGGUUCAUUCAAAUUUCUUCCCUAUCAACUUUCGAUGUUUGGGUAGUGGCCAAACAUGGUUGCAACGGGUAACGGAGGGUUAGGGCUCGACCCCGGAGAAGGAGCCUGAGAAACGGCUACUACAUCCAAGGAAGGCAGCAGGCGCGCAAAUUACCCAAUCCCGACACGGGGAGGUAGUGACAAUAAAUACUGAUACAGGGCUCUUUCGGGUCUUGUAAUUGGAAUGAGUACAAUUUAAAUCCCUUAACGAGGAACAAUUGGAGGGCAAGUCUGGUGAACGUUGCUGGUGCCAGAGAGAGCUACCCCUCCGUUGAACAGUCCCCCUAAAAGUAGCUAGUCGAGCGUUCAAUCUGUGACGGGUGAGCGCCGGCGAGACAACCUGGAUCGGGGAAGGCUAAGGGCCCCAAGCUGGGCCUACGCUGAUCCCGAGCAGAGCUCGCGCUUGCGGAAGCGCGGGCCUGUGUAGAGCGCGCCAAGGUGUCGGUCCCAGUAGCGGGGGGAGGUUUCUCUUUUCCAACAAACCUCCCCCCCGGGGCUUAAGGUACGUGCCAAUCCCCCGCGAAAGCUGGGCCCCGCGGAGCAGCACCCGUCGUGCGAAGCCGUGGGGAGGGCCUGCCCGGGCAGGCUUGUAGAACAUUAGUGGCCAGCAGCCGCGGUAAUUCCAGCUCCAAUAGCGUAUAUUAAAGUUGUUGUGGUUAAAAAGCUCGUAGUUGAACCUUGGGCCUGGCUGGCCGGUCCGCCUCACCGCGUGUACUGGUCCGGCCGGGCCUUUCCCUCUGUGGAACCCCAUGCCCUUCACUGGGCGUGGCGGGGAAACAGGACGUUUACUUUGAAAAAAUUAGAGUGCUCCAGGCAGGCCUAUGCUCGAAUACAUUAGCAUGGAAUAAUGAAAUAGGACGCGCGGUUCUAUUUUGUUGGUUUCUAGGACCGCCGUAAUGAUUAAUAGGGACAGUCGGGGGCAUCAGUAUUCAAUUGUCAGAGGUGAAAUUCUUGGAUUUAUUGAAGACUAACUACUGCGAAAGCAUUUGCCAAGGAUGUUUUCAUUAAUCAGGAACGAAAGUUAGGGGAUCGAAGACGAUCAGAUACCGUCGUAGUCUUAACCAUAAACUAUGCCGACUAGGGAUCGGACGAUGUUAUUUUUUGACUCGUUCGGCACCUUACGAGAAAUCAAAGUGCUUGGGCUCCAGGGGGAGUAUGGUCGCAAGGCUGAAACUUAAAGAAAUUGACGGAAGGGCACCACCAGGGGUCAACCUGCACUGUGAUCUAAGCCGCAGUCAACUCUGCUCCGGAUAGCCGCCCGCAAGGGUCGGUGGUGUUUCCUUGGGUGCCGCCCCAGGCGCCCAGAACGAAAGGCUAGUCUCCGCCCGGCCCCCACCUGGGGGCGCGCGGAGGCGACACCCUCAAACUGACGGGGACACCCUAAAGCUCCCGCUCCAAAGCCGACGCGGCGAAAGCCGUCGGUGGCCAGGCCAACAGCCUCGGGUACUGGAACAACGCGGCGAGAUGCAACAAUGGGCGAUCCGCAGCCAAGCCCCUACGUGCGCCCUACGCAUACGGGGAAGGUUCAGAGACUUGACGGGGGUGGGUAGGCUCGCGCCCGCUGAGGGCGAAGCGCCAGGGGAAGACCUCCCGCUGGCUGGCCUGCUUAAGAGAAAGUCCGUCCCCCCGCGAGAGCGGAGGUUAGCUUCCAAUCGAGGCCCCCCCCUUUCCACACCGGAAAGUUAAAACGGGAGCCUGCGGCUUAAUUUGACUCAACACGGGGAAACUCACCAGGUUGGCUUUGUCUGGGCCUGGAAAAGUCGGGCGCUCGCUACGGGCGAGGCGCUGCGGCUAGUAUCGAGCUUCACUCCGCGUGGGGGAGCCCCCUCGUCGGGCGCGGAGACGGCACCCCAGCCCCUGGGGCGCCGUUGCUCGAUGCGACACCAGCUGGUACAGGGGACGCCUUAACCGGCCGAUCCUGUGGCGAGCUCGGGUUGCGCCGAGCCGCUGCAACGCGCGCUAAGCGGUGGGCUGGAAAGGGUGAGGGAGCCCCCCGUGGCUCCCCAUCCCCUCCGGCUUAAGGUACGUGCUAAUCCCACAGGGAACUGUGGCCUCUCUGACCAGGUCCGACUCACCGAAGCAGAGAGGGCGACGCCCAGCGAGCGAAACCCCCUACCCGGGGGAGAGAGCUGGCGCCGUGUGUGGGCUUCUUGCCGCGGCGAGAGGCCCACGAUGCCAGACACAAUGAGGAUUGACAGAUUGAGAGCUCUUUCUUGAUUUUGUGGGUGGUGGUGCAUGGCCGUUCUUAGUUGGUGGAGUGAUUUGUCUGCUUAAUUGCGAUAACGAACGAGACCUUAACCUGCUAAAUAGCCCGUAUUGCUUUGGCAGUACGCCGGCUUCUUAGAGGGACUAUCGGCUCAAGCCGAUGGAAGUUUGAGGCAAUAACAGGUUGGCGGGAUAUGCCACAACAUAUCACAGGCCUGUCACAGUAGAGAGAGAAGCCUCGUUAAACAUUUUUGACUGCUAGUCCAGCGACUUUACCUCCGUUGGGGAAGCUCCCCUGCUGUCGGGCGGAAAGGGGGCCCUUUAGGGGGCCUUGUCGCGGGCGACACCACCUGGUACAGGGAACGCCAUAACUGGCCGAUCCUGUGGCGAGCUCGGGUUGCGCCGAGCCGUCGCAACGCGCGCUAAGGGGUGGGCUGCGCCUACGGGCCGGCUUAAGGUACGUGCUAAUCCCAUGGGAAUGAAAGAAAAACCAUGCCCUCGCAGUGAGGCCCGACAGGUCAAGCUGCGCAGGGGGCGAACCGCCCUUCGAGGGCGGGCGCCGGCGCUCGAUCGAACCGCAACGCGGUCCGGGAGAGGAAAAACUGCUGUGAUGCCCUUAGAUGUUCUGGGCCGCACGGUACGUAUUUGCUUUACACCCCCUAUUCCUGUUCUCCAACACUCUGCAAAAGGCAUAAAUGCUAACUUCUUAUAGCGCGCUACACUGACGGAGCCAGCGAGUACUCCCUUGGCCGGAAGGCCCGGGUAAUCUUGUUAAAUUCCGUCGUGCUGGGGAUAGAGCAUUGCAAUUAUUGCUCUUCAACGAGGAAUCCCUAGUAAGCGCAAGUCAUCAGCUUGCGUUGAUUACGUCCCUGCCCUUUGUACACACCGCCCGUCGCUACUACCGAUUGAAUGGCUCAGUGAGGCGUUCGGACUGGCCCAGGGAGGCGGGAAACUGCCACCCAGGGCCGGAAAGUUCUCCAAACUCGGUCAUUUAGAGGAAGUAAAAGUCGUAACAAGGUCUCCGUU
rnacentral:rRNA from 1 species